UGACAGUCUGACUUCCUCCAGUGUAAACAAGGCUUCCGCUCUGUUGUACUUUAAAACUUUGGGGCGCACCAUGUCCGAAAGAACAAUACCUUAGUUAGAAGUGGAAGGACCAGGGACAGGUUCAGGGUCAUCGACCUCCUCCUCGUCGGACUCUUCUUCAGGUGGCACAGGUGAAGUUUCAUUGUUUCGAAACUCCCACCGCUCACUGGUUCAAUGCUUCGAACCCCGUGAUUUACUAGCGUUGAGUGCAAGCGACACAUAAACUGGUUGUGUUGUAAGCGGACGGGAAGUCGGACUGAAGUUUGUGUUCGUAUUACUGUGAGUCUUGAUGAAGUUGUGUGAAGUUUGACGUAGUGUUUUCUCAAGUGCUGGAAACUGAACGUAAGUGUUGGAAAUUGAACUUGAUGUUGUGGACAGUUAUUUAAAUUGUUGAAAAGUGACUGGAAGUGUUGGAACUAUACUAAAGUGUUGUAAAGUGAACUUGAAGUGUUGGAAACUGGCUGAAGUGUUCCUAAAUGAAUUUAAAGUGCUAGAUAGAGAGCAUAAAGAGUUAGAAACUGAGCUGAAAGUGUUGGAAACUGAAGUUAAAGUGUUGGAAACUGAACUUAAUGUGUUGGAAACUGAACUUAGAGUGCAGGAAAUUGAGUUUAAAGUGCAGGACAGUGAACUUAAAGUGUUGGAAACUGAGCUGAAAAUGUUGGAAAGUGAACUAAAGUGUUUAAAGUUGGAUGUUGAAUCGUGUUGACACUUGAGAUCUUGUGAAGAGACUGUUUAAAGUUGCGUUAAGUGUUUCUACCAAGAGUAAGUCGCGUUAAGUGGCCGUGGUAUAGUAGUGACAAGUGUGGUACUGUACCCUGACGUGUCUUGAUCUUGUCGAGAACCUGUCCAAGACGUGUGUGUGUGUGUGGGACGUGUACUGCCUGCCAGUCUCCAGUCUC